rnacentral:rRNA from 1 species
UACGUAGGGUGCAAGCGUUGUCCGGAAUUAUUGGGCGUAAAGAGCUCGUAGGCGGUUUGUCGCGUCGAAUGUGAAAACCCGGGGCUCAACUCCGGGCCUGCAGUGGAUACGGGCAGACUAGAGGUAGGUAGGGGAGAAUGGAAUUCCCGGUGUAGCGGUGAAAUGCGCAGAUAUCGGGAGGAACACCGGUGGCGAAGGCGGUUCUCUGGGCCUUACCUGACACUGAGGAGCGAAAGCGUGGGGAGCGAACAGG